AUUGAACGCUGGCGGCAGGCUUAACACAUGCAAGUCGAGCGGAGAUGAGGUGCUUGCACCUUAUCUUAGCGGCGGACGGGUGAGUAAUGCUUGGGAAUCUGCCUAUUAGUGGGGGACAACACCUCGAAAGGGAUGCUAAUACCGCAUACGUCCUACGGGGGAUAGCAGGGGAUCACUUGUGACCUUGCGCUAAUAGAUGAGCCUAAGUCGGAUUAGCUAGUUGGUGGGGUAAAGGCCUACCAAGGCGACGAUCUGUAGCGGGUCUGAGAGGAUGAUCCGCCGAACUGAGACUGGGACACGGCCCAGACUCCUAAGGGAGGCAGCAGUGGGGAAUAUUGGACAAUGGGGGGAACCCUGAUCCAGCCAUGCCGCGUGUGUGAAGAAGGCCUUAUGGUUGUAAAGCACUUUAAGCGAGGAGGAGGCUCUUUUGGUUAAUACCCAGAAUGAGUGGACGUUACUCGCAGAAUAAGCACCGGCUAACUCUGUGCCAGCAGCCGCCGUAA
rnacentral:rRNA from 1 species